GGGAUUAAAGAUAUGUGCCUCUAAGCUCAGAGAGGAGACAGGAAGAAAGAAAUAGAGAAGAAAGAAGUGGGCAGAGAAGGAAUGGCAAAGAAAGUGAAUGUGGCCCUAUCACACAAAGGAGCAGAUUAAUAAGUCCAUCGAGAGAAACCCAGGAAGGAUCUGAGCCCUGAUCAGCACUGGGCAUUCACUGAGCCUGAAACAGCAGAAAGGGAGGAAACACGCCGGGAGCAGAAAGAAGCACACAGACCUCGCAGCAACGGGCCUGACUUGUAGCUGUGUUUAAGUGUGUGCAUGUCUUAUCGCCCGGGCACCUGUCCAUCCAUCCAUUCAUUCGCCCAACACCGAACUAUCCACCCACUUAUCUCCCUUGCAUCCACUCAUUCACCACUAGCUUCCACCCACUGAUUACUCUCUCAUCCACCACCUCUCCCACCCAUCCAUCCACCCACCCACC
rnacentral:lncRNA from 1 species